GAUGAACGCUGACAGAAUGCUUAACACAUGCAAGUCUUUGGCGAAGCUGUGCUUGCACAGCCUAGCCAAGGCGGACGGGUGAGUAACGCGUAAGGAACUUGCCCUGCAGUCAGGGAUAACAGACGGAAACGACUGAUAAGACCUGGUAAAGUCAGGCGGACUCAUGUCCAGCCUGAUGAAAAGAGAUGCUGCAGGAGAGCCUUGCGUCCUAUUAGCUUGUUGGUGGGGUAACGGCCCACCAAGGCGAUGAUAGGUAGCCGGCCUGAGAGGGUGGACGGCCACAGGGGGACUGAGAUACGGCCCUUACUCCUCCGGGAGGAAGCAGUGGGGAAUAUGGGACAAUGGGGGCAACCUUGAUCCAGCAAUUCUGUGGGAAGAAUGAGGGUUUUCGGUUUGAAAAGGGCUUCAGCAGGGAAGAAAAAAAUGACGGUACCUGCAGAAGAAGCGACGGCUAAAUACGUG
rnacentral:rRNA from 1 species